UACGUAGGGGGCAAGCGUUGUCCGGAUUUAUUGGGCGUAAAGAGCGUGUAGGCGGCCAUACAGGUCCGUUGUGAAAACUGGAGGCUUAACCUCCAGACGUCGAUGGAAACCGUAUGGCUAGAGUCCGGAAGAGGAGAGUGGAAUUCCUGGUGUAGCGGUGAAAUGCGCAGAUAUCAGGAAGAACACCCGUGGCGAAGGCGGCUCUCUGGGACGGUACUGACGCUGAGGAGCGAAAGUGUGGGGAGCGAACAGG
rnacentral:rRNA from 1 species